GACGAACGCUGGCGGCGUGCCUAAUACAUGCAAGUAGGACGCACAGUUUAUACCGUAGCUUGCUACACCAUAGACUGUGAGUUGCGAACGGGUGAGUAACGCGUAGGUAACCUGCCUAUUAGAGGGGGAUAACUAUUGGAAACGAUAGCUAAUACCGCAUAACAGUAUGUAACACAUGUUAGAUGCUUGAAAGAUGCAAUUGCAUCGCUAGUAGAUGGACCUGCGUUGUAUUAGCUAGUAGGUAGGGUAAUGGCCUACCUAGGCGACGAUACAUAGCCGACCUGAGAGGGUGAUCGGCCACACUGGGACUGAGACACGGCCCAGACUCCUACGGGAGGCAGCAGUAGGGAAUCUUCGGCAAUGGGGGGAACCCUGACCGAGCAACGCCGCGUGAGUGAAGAAGGUUUUCGGAUCGUAAAGCUCUGUUGUUAAGGAAGAACGAGUGUGAGAAUGGAAAGUUCAUACUGU
rnacentral:rRNA from 1 species